rnacentral:misc_RNA from 1 species
GGCAAAAUGGUGCCAAUAGAUGGAGUGCGAGGUCCAACACAAAGGACCUGUGUGAUUUGUACGGACAUAGCGGUGCUAAUAGCAAUUGUGACUCUUACAAUGCUGGUGAGUUCGAGCGCAAAUGUCUGCCUGGAUUUGAACCGAAAUCAUCUAAUGAUUGGUGCUUGAAAGACCCAUCAGGCGGUUGUGUAAGGAAGAAGCAGGGUUUAUCAACCUGCAGCAAUGGAGAAGGAAUCGUGAAGGUUCCUGGCACUUCAACAGCGAGUGCAGACAUGAGUUUGAGCCUCAAAGAAUGUGAGAAAUUGUGCUUGAGAGAUUGAUAUUGCACAGCGGAGAUGUGAGAGGAGGAGGGAGUGGGUGCAUCACUUGCGAUGGAGACCUUGUGGACACAAGGCAGUACUCAGAACAUGGCCAAGACUUGUACAUUCGUGUGGAUUCACUUGAAUUAGGUAUUCACUUCAAUUUCUUCCUCCGGCUUUACAAUUUUAUCUCAUAAUGAUAUAUAUUGUUGCUAAAUAUGAGAAUUAGUACCAUUCUCAUAAAAUCUUGAACAGCCUUAGACUUUGUAGUAACGUUUACUUUGUUAAUUUAAACUGUAACAUAU